UAUUGUUUGAGUUAUAGCAAUUAAAAUUGAACAUCUAGGGGCACCUGGGUGGCUCAGUUGGUUAAGCGUCUGCCUUUGGCUCAGGUCAUGAUCCCAGGGUCCUGGAAUCGAGUCCCGCAUUGGGCUCCCUGCUCAGCAGGGAGCCUGCUUCUACCUCUCCCUCUCCCUCUGUGUGCUCGCUCACGUAGGCGUGCACUCUGUCUCUCUCUCAAAUAAAUAAAUAAAUAUUUUUAAAAAUAAAAUUGAACAUCUAAAGAAUUCAUCACAAGUACAUAGAAAAAAUCUCUCUUGUCUGUCUUGUAGAAAUUAAAGAUUUCAGAAUAAAACUUUUCGAGUAAUGAAAGAAAAUCAACUUUAUUGAAUUAUACCAAUUAUUUAUAUAGGAUUUAUAUGUUACUAAGGUGAGGUUUUCACAUUCAGAAGAACAAAUAAUAGGGCAAAAUGGGUGAAGGGGAUUAAGAGGUACAAACUUCCAGUUAUAAAAUGAAUACGUCAUGGGAAUGAGAAGUACCUGAUAGGAAAUGUCGUCAAUGACAUUGUAAUAACGUGACUACACCCAUCAUGCUGAGCAUAGUGUAAUGUAGAGAAUUGUUGAAUCGCUAUGUUGUACACCUGAAACUGAUAAAAUACUGUAUGUCAACUAUAUGAUAAUAAAUAUAAUAGUAAUAAUAAAUAAAUACACAGAAGUUAUUAUAGCAUAUACAAUUUCAUCUGAAUUAGUGGAAUAUAACUUGCUUGGAGAAUUACCUGUUGAGUGACUUCCAGUUCCGGAUGGCAGCCUGGGUAAAAGUUACGAACUCAGGGUCGUGAGAUCAAGCCCUUUAUCGGGCUCCACACUCAGUGGAGAGUCUGCUUGAGAUUCUCUCUCCUCUGCCCCUCCCCCCGGGCGCUCACGCUUCUCUCUCAAACAAGUAAGUAAAAUCUUUAAAAAAAAAAUUUUUUUUUUUUUUAAUAACAGAGGAAAUCCACCUCAAAAGUUUAACCUGAUCCCUGAAGGUAAAUACAACUGGGCAAUCAGAGAAACCAAAUAAGUUUUUGACCCUGAGGAUAGAGAGAAUUUAGAAAAGAAGCAGUAGCUUUAGGGAGAACGGAGGAGAAACUCCUAAUUUAGAAUCUUCACAAAGACUUAAGUAAUAAUAGAAUGUUAUGGAAAAGAAACAAAGAGUGAGAAAGCUGUUAAAAAUUUUAUUUAUUAUUUCGGACGCCUGGGUGGCUUAGUUAAGCGUCUGCCUUCAGCUCAGGUCAUGAUCCCAGGGUCCUGGGAUCGAGUCCCACAUCAGGCUCCCUGCUCAGCGGGGAGGCUGCUUCUCCCUCUCCCUCUGUCUGCCGCUCCCCCGGCUUGUGCUCUCUCUCUCUCUCUCUGACAAAUAAAUAAAACUUAAAAAAAAAUUUUUUUUAAUAAAAAAUUUAAAAAUUAAAUUUAUUUUUUAAUAUUUUAUUUUUAAGUAAUCUCUACAUCCAACAUGGGGCUCAAACUCACAACCCCAAGAACAAGAGUCGCAGGCUCCUCCAACUGAGCCAACCAGGCAUUCCAAGAGCUGUUAAAAAUUUUAAAUGAUUGACAAAGUAAAUUUAGUGGAAAUGUUGAAAGAUAAAGUCAAGAAAAUUUCCUGAGACCUGAGCAAAAAGAUAUAUGGAAAAUAUGAGAGAAAAAAUAUAGAUCAAUUCUUAAGAGAUGUGAAAUCUGACAAAAUUUUUGAUAUAGGGAGUUAUCAAAUCAGUGAUAUAAGAAAAUUUCCCUGAGUGAAAGAGAAAAAAGCCUUCAGAUUAAAAUGUUCACUGAAUGCCAAAGGAGAUGCUUCAUGAGAUUUGAGAAUACCAAGAAUAAAUUGAUGUUGGAGAGGAAAAACUUUUCCUCCAUCCUGUUAGAUUUAGUGGUUGGGAGCCUGUGAAUUAAACUGACAAAAGACAGAUUUCAUCAAAAUGUGACUCAAAGGGCCAAUUAAAAUUGGGGCUUAUAUACCAUCUUAAUAGCAGAAAGGGAGGGGGAGAAGAACACUUACGGAAAAACAAAUGAUUUUUUGGAAAGAUAAGUGGGCCCUUAGGAGAAUAGAUGAGAGGGAGAUAGAAUAGUUUUGUGACAGUGUUUAGGAGUGGUAUGGAGACUUCUCAUCUCCAAUGAUAAGAAUUAGUCUUCUUUGGUUGCUCUCAGGGAGAGAAUUUAUGACAGUUGAGGUUUUUGGGGGGGGGGGUCUCUGCUUUUUUGCCGAUAAGAGGUUUCAGGAACUCAAAAGCCUGCUCAAAAUAAUUUUUAUGCCACAGUGGCAUAUUCUGGACCCCUUCAGAGAUAAUCCUGAAAACUUUGGAAAGAAAGAAACCAAACCCAAACUGGUGAUUAAUAUCAGCAACCCUAGAGGCUAGAAGGCAAAAAAGAGUGAGUGCACUCAUUCUGAUACUAUAACAGGGGAACUGACCCAUCAGUCCAGGGAAAAGAAAGCCCGGAUCCACAGUAUAGUAAGCAGUCUGUGCAAAUUGUAACAAAGUCAAGAAAAAUAGGUCCCAAGCAUUGUGAGAAGGAAUAAGAAAUGAUCUUUUUUGAUGGCAGUAAAGAAUGUAAAUGUUAAUUCUCAACAGAAGGAGAAAGACAUUUAGAAAUUCCAUGGGAAAGAUUAUACAAAGAGAGCCAAGGUCAAAUGUAAAACAAAGGAAAUUGUUACAGGAUUUUGAGUAAUUGAUAAGAUGUACAAAAAGCAAUCCAGUUGUCUGGGUGCACUAGACAUUCUCCUGAGGGUUGCACGGGAGUCAGGACCUUCUAAGUAGGGAAGGAAACUUGUCAUAAACACUGCUAACGAGCUGCAACAGUUAGAGUCAACGUAUAGACUGAAAUAUGUUUAGAGAACAGGACAGGAGGUGUUAACCUUGAUGAUGUAAAAAUAAAAGUCCAAUAAAUAAAAGGCUUGGGGUGCUCAUAACCUCCUAUGUAAAAGGUAGAGUAACCAGAAGUUCUGUCUAAAGUUACAAAAUAGGGGCACCUGGGUGGAGUGUCUGCCUUUGGCUUAGGUCAUGAUCCCAGGGUCCUAGGAUUGAGCCCUGCGUCAGGCUCCUUGUUCAGCAGGGAGCCUGCUUCUCCCUCUCCCUCUGCCCGCCGCUUCCCCUGCUUGUGUUCGCUCUCUCUCUCACUCUUUCUCUCUCUCUCUCGUCAAAUAAAUAAAAUCUAAAAAAAUAAAAUAAAAAUAAAGUUAACAAAAUAAUCAAUAGAUUAAACAAUAUUAUAUAACUAGCCGAAUUUGGGGCAAGGCGAAGUAUAGGGAGUAGUCUAAUGAGAUGAAGCCUCAUCUUACGUGGUGGGGGGUCAGUAGGUCAAUGUCAGGCAGUGGCUCUGGCUAGUGGAAUGACAGCAAGGGUUUAGGUUCCUUGUGGAGGUGGCCACCAGAAGAGCUGAAAACAAAAGCUAUUUAAAACAGGACUGGGUGCCUGGCUGACUCAGUCGGUUAGGCAUCCGACUCUUGGCUUCCAUUCAGGUCAUGAUCUCAGUCCUGAGAAGGGCUCGUGAGUCAGCUUGGGAGUCUUUCCUUCUUCCUCUCCCUCCCUCUCUGCCCCUCCCCACACCCUCGUCUGUGCCCUGUGUGUGCGCUGAGCAUGCUCUCUCUCUC